rnacentral:tRNA from 1 species
GGGGCAUUAGCUCAGUUGGCUAGAGCGUUUGACUGGCAGUCAAGAGGUCAGGGGUUCGACUCCCCUAUGCUCC